rnacentral:rRNA from 1 species
UACGUAGGUGGCAAGCGUUGUCCGGAAUUAUUGGGCGUAAAGCGCGCGCAGGCGGCCUCUUAAGUCUGAUGUGAAAUCUUGCGGCUCAACCGUAAGCGGCCAUUGGAAACUGGGGGGCUUGAGUACAGAAGAGGAGAGUGGAAUUCCACGUGUAGCGGUGAAAUGCGUAGAUAUGUGGAGGAACACCAGUGGCGAAGGCGACUCUCUGGUCUGUAACUGACGCUGAGGCGCGAAAGCGUGGGGAGCAAACAGG